rfam:Schistosoma rodhaini strain Burundi genome assembly, scaffold: SROB_scaffold0000410
AUCCAGCUGACGAGUCCCAAAUAGUUCGAAACGCGCGUCCUGGAU